rnacentral:rRNA from 1 species
CCUACGGUGGGCAGCAGUGAGGAAUAUUGGUCAAUGGACGAGAGUCUGAACCAGCCAAGUAGCGUGAAGGAUGACUGCCCUCUGGGUUGUAAACUUCUUUUAUAUGGGAAUAAAAUGUUCCACGUGUGGGAUUUUGUCUGUACCAUAUGAAUAAGGAUCGGCUAACUCCGUGCCAGCAGCCGCGGUAAUACGGAGGAUCCGAGCGUUAGCCGGUUUUAUUGGGGUUAAAGGGAGCGUAGGUGGAUUGUUAAGUCAGUUGUGAAAGUUUGCGGCUCAACCGUAAAAUUGCAGUUGAAACUGGCAGGCUUGAGUACAGUAGAGGUGGGCGGAAUUCGUGGGGUAGCGGUGAAAUGCUUAGAUAUCACGAAGAACUCCGAUGGCGAAGGCAGCUAACUGGACUGCAACUGACACUGAGGCUCGAAAGUGUGGGUAUCAAACAGGAUUAGAUACCCCAGUAGUC